GCUGCUCUGGUAAACAGAGCGGCGCGGCGGCGACGGGGCCCAGGUCUCACAAAGGGGUGGUGGGCCGGGCCGAUGCGUGGCGGCGGAGCGGCUCAGACCUGGUGGCGGCGGUGCCGCUGCUGCUGAGGCGGGCGCCCAUGGCGGAGGCGGGCGGCGCCGCCGCAGCGGCGCCGGACAUCGACCCCGACUUCGAGCCGCAGAGCCGGCCGCGCUCCUGCACCUGGCCGCUGCCGCGGCCUGAGCUGCCGGCGGCGCCAGCUGAGGCAGGCGGUGCGGCGGGCGCAGUGGACGAGGGCGCAGGUGGCGCGGCGGUGGGGCCCGGGCGGGCCGAGGGGGCGCGGGCGGGUGGCGCGGCGGCGCGGAAGGGCGGCUCCCGGCGCAACGCCUGGGGCAACCAGUCCUACGCCGAACUCAUCAGCCAAGCCAUCGAGAGCGCCCCCGAGAAGCGGCUCACGCUGGCGCAGAUCUACGAGUGGAUGGUCCGCUCCGUUCCCUACUUCAAGGACAAGGGUGACAGCAACAGCUCCGCCGGCUGGAAGAACUCUAUUAGACAUAACCUGUCCCUGCACAGCAAGUUCAUUAAAGUCCAUAAUGAAGCCACAGGGAAGAGCUCUUGGUGGAUGCUUAAUCCAGAGGGUGGUAAAAGUGGAAAAGCACCAAGAAGAAGAGCCGCUUCCAUGGACAACAGCAGCAAACUUGCAAAAGUCAGAGGUAAAGCAUCCAAAAAGAAGCCUCCUCUCCAGUCUGCUCCAGAAUCCACUGCUGACAGUCCUAGCUCCCAAUUCCCGAAGUGGCCAGGGAGCCCGUCCUCAAGAAGCAAUGAGGACUCUGAUGUGUGGAACACCUUCCGACCUCGAACCAGUUCCAAUGCAAGCACCGUUAGUGCUAAGCUUUCUCCUAUCCUGACGGAGCAGGAUGACCUCCACGAUGAAGAGCUGCUUCCUUCUCUAGUGUACUCCAGUGCAUCCAGCAAUGUUCCACCAACUGUGACUGAGGAGCUUGAGCUUAUCGAUGGGUUAAAUUUGAUGUCUCCCAGCUCAUCUGUGUUAUCUACCCAGCAAUCUGUUUCGAGUGGUCAGAUCCAGAGAGAUUCCAGCUUUUCCUUGCAGAGCCCAAAUGCAGCUGGUCAGACCACUACUUUUGGCAAUUCCCUGUUUAACCCCAUUGAUAUCUCACUGCAAAGUUCCAUCAGCCAUUUCUCUGCCCCUCACACCUUGGAAGUUCUUCUGACACCUGCUUCUCCACCUCCAAGGGAUGUUAUGUUGACUCCAGUGGAUCCAGUUCUUCCGCAGACUGGUAACAGAAUGAGCAGCCGAACUCUUCUGCUUCUAGGUGGACAAGCUGCCCAGAGUAAGAUGAGCUCAGGCAAUUCACGAGGAAAGUCUACAGAGCAGCAGGUAGAACCAGUCGGUGCCAGUGUUUUGCCAUCAACGCUUCCCAUAGUAACAUCGCCUCAAAACACUGCCAGCAUCGUCAGUUUGAAAGCUCCAGUUUCUGCAACAACUGCCCAGGCAGUCCAGCUGGGCAGUCCACUGCUUCUUUCUUCUGCUAGCCCUGCUCCUUUGGGAUUGAACCAGGACAGGCUGCCCAUUGACCUGGACCUUGACAUGUACAUGGAGAACCUUGAAUGUGAUAUGGAUUACAUAAUCAACAGUGAACUCAUGGAUGAAGAAGGAUUGGACUUUAAUUUUGAACCCAUUCUGUCUACUCCCAGCUAUCCCAGCACCUCGCAGGCCUCCAACCAUACCUGGGUACCAAGUUAACUUCAGGAGCACAAAAAGGCACCUGAGUAACCUGGAGGUAGUUUGGACUAGGUGACCUCUGGAAGCCCGUUUCAACCUAAAUUUUCAGCAUCCUUCAGGUUUUGAACAUCGGGUUCUGACUUCACUUCCCACCCCUGGCAGAGAAAAGAAUGGAGCACGUUGGAUUCGGUUUCCCUGCACACCACGCCUUGGGCAGAAGGGGCUGCCCACCUAGGAAGGAGGGGCAACCUGCAUCUGGCUGCAACAGGAAGAGUUUAAAGAUAAUUGUGUUAUGUGCCAUGGCUCUUCCUACAAACCUGACUCUGCCUUGGAUCAUCUGAAGAAACCUGGGCUGUACAUGUCCAAAGAGAAGCCCUGGUAAAAAAACCUCGGCUAGAAGACUCUGUGCCAGACAAUAGCAUUUUCCCAUGUGAAGAGUUGGGUUUGCUGGAGGAAUCUCUCAAUGGCUAUCCUCCCUCUGCUAUGGCAGAAAGUCUCCCAGUGCCUCAGACUGGUGGAGGGCUGGCUCUGCUCUCACUUAGCUUGCCCUGUGGGGCAAAGUAGUUGGACAUUUUCAUUAAGCUGUCAGAUGUGCACUUGGUAUCCCACAGACUUGCAGAGGAAUUGGAAGGAGCUUGUUGGUGGAAACCCUGUGGGAAAAGGGUGCGCCAUUUCAGGGGAUGGCUUCAGCAUGCCCAUCUCUGGAGCACCCAUCGUCAUUCUGCAGGGAAGGAUGGUGGUCAUGAUGUAGAAAGCUUCCUCUUGUCCACCUGAGUGGAACGGGAGAACAUUUGAGUUUUUCACUGUGCCAACUGAGCCCCACUGAAUCAGAGCAUGUUUUGAGAAGUCCCUAUGCUGUUCUCAGCACUCUUCUGAUACACCAGGCUGCUGUAAAAUAAGCACAGUUGCUGAUAGCUGUUUUGGGGACAUGUAAACAUGAUUUUGGGUUUGUUUCUGAUCUGUCUUGCUGCAGCAGAGAAGUGGAAAGCCUGGGUGUGGCCUUAACAGAGCCCUGGUUGCUUUUCAGAAGGGCAUUUUCUAUAGAUGAAAUAUUUUUUUACUAAUCUGGGAACUUUCUACAGUGAAUAUGAAGCAAAUGUUAAGUGUGUCCCCAUUAGGUGUAUUAGGCAUCUCUCCCUCAGAGGAGGUACCAGUGACAGACUUUUUCCAAGCUGUAUUGGGAACAAACACAGUUGAUGUUUGAUAAUGUGUAUGAUUGAGGGGAAAGGAUUGGCAGGUCCCCGUGGUUUCAAACCACGUUGGGGAAGAGUUGUACAUUAUUGUAAUCUAUAUGUAAGAGUAGCUGCAAAUUACAUAGAAGCUUUUCUAAACCUUUUUAAAUAUAUAUUAUAUAUUUUAAUUGAAAAUGAGAUUAUUGGAUAAAAAAAAAGAACCCACAUUUGCUACAUCUGUCCCCUUGAUACUAGAUAACACUACAGUAUGGGAGAGGACAGGCCUAAGGCAUUUUGGGCCAAGAAGCCGAAGAUGUCAUUGGAAAAGUGGGAAGGGCACCACUGGGGAAUGGCUGCUCUCCCUAGAACAGGCUGAAGGUGCCUAUGUGGCAUGGCAUUCAGCCACAGCUGCUCCGUCUCUCCUCGACUGGGCACUCCCGCCAAGCCAAGAGGACAAUGUUACGGAAUGCUAAUCAUUAACAGCGCACUCACUCUCAGCUAAUCCCUUAAGUAGCUGGACUGCAGCUGAUACAUAAGACAGAUUUCCUAGUCUGCUAAGAAGAUGGUGUAGACUGGAUCAUGCUAGAUUGGCUGACACUGUGGGUAGUCCUUAUGGAGGGCAUGAUCAGUUGUAUUUGGUAGCUUGCUUUUUGGUUUCCGAAGGUUUUUGUUUUCUUGCUGAAGUUUCUGCUACUGCUGGGGAACCUGAAGCCUGUAGGCACAUCCUUGGGGAUAUGCCUGAGAUCCUGCCCUGUCUCUUUGUUCUUGCAGGACAGAAGAUAGGAGUCAAGAGGUUAGUUCAGAGCAAAUGCUGGCAUGUUCCUGUCACGUUUUUGGUGUUUGCAGUGGCAGGAUCUGUGGGAGACAUAGCGCUUUCCUGGUGUUCUGGUAGGCUUGAUCUGGUAGAAAGCCUCUUCAGUUCUUUCUGAAGGUGGUGUUGGCUUCUGUUCAGAGGUUUGUAUCAUGCAGUGUAAUGAGCCAUACUGUUUACCACCUUGUCGGCUCUGUUUUCAUGGAUUUCAUUUCAUUUUCAUUUGAGUGGAGAUUGGAACAGGAGUGGUUUGUCAGAUUGCCUGCAACAAGGAGUCUUCAACAGUCGUAUUUUAGCAUGCUCUGGCAUCAGUCUUCGAAUAGUUUGAUAACCUUUGCUUUGAAGGCUGUCUUCAUGGCAGACCUCAGGGUGAUAUGUUUCAAAUUUACCCACAAUCUGUAUGUGUAGCCACAUCUCAUGGUAACAAACAAAAGGGCAGAUGCUAAGCAGGGAUCCCAGUCUUGCAGACUUGGAUGCACAUUCUUGCUGCAGUUAGUUCAUUACACAAAUGGAUAGAUACCCUUUUCACAAACACCUAAUGGUAUAUGUCACAAGCGAGAAUUGGCCAUUCUGGGUUGUAGUUAAUACAUCUGGCAGGGUUUGUGUUGUUUGGCACAUAAUAUGCCACUUUGUUAGCUUGGGCCUUGAGGGGACGUGAAUCCCAUGAUUUCCAGAGCAAGUUGACUGGCUGCCCAUGCCUCACAGCCAUGUAUCAAAGAACAAGACACUGGUAUGUGUGGUCAUGUUGUAUGUGAAUCUCUAGCUCACCUCUCAUGAAAAAACAGAGCCCAAAAUAAUAGGAAGUACAAUAAUUAGUAACUGGUGCUUCAGACCUGCAAAUCCAUGGUGAGCUGUUUCUGGCUGGGUUGGUCUGUGGGUAAGAAGUGCUGUCUUCAGGCUGUUCCAAGAUGUCCCCUAGGUGUGACAGCACUGGGGACGUGGCCUGAUCUCUGGCUGCAGAGAGCCUGGCCCCCUGAGCACUCGAGUAGUGCCCCGGGAAGAUCUGAUGUACUCUCAGCUAGUAUGCAUCCUCACCCUGUUCCAGCUGAAGGAACAGAGCACCUAUCUUUUUUCUCUCUCUCUUUUUUUUUUUUUUUUUUUUUUUUUACAUACUCCCAGGCCAGACUCCUGGGGAAUUGACUGUUCUGGAGACAGGAGCACCUCUGGCUGGAGUCCUGCUGUACCGGUAUACUGACAGUGAUGUCUCUGUCUUGUGGCGGUCCACGCAGGUGCUCUCUGUCUCCUCAAUGCAACAGAAGCUGGCAGUGGUUAAAGAGGCCUGAGAGAGCACUAGUGCUGAAGAUGGUGUUCAGAAGACUAAUGGUACUCUGGGAGGGCUCAGUAAACCAUGAAUGUAAUGUUGUAGGCUCAGGCAGGCAACUUAGCUUCUCGUUUGUGUGUGUAGCAGGAUAAUUUGGAUCAUGGGCACGGAGGGCAGGGAUGCAGAGAAUUCAGGAGUUCUCUAGCCCCUUCUCAAAUAACUUUCUUUUCAUAAACCUUGAGUUUUCUAGCCAGGGAUAUUUCCUUCCAGGACACAGGAGACUUUAAAGUUCCUAAACUGCUGCUUGCUGAAAGGUUGUACCUGGCAGGGGGUUGCUCAAUACUUGUCCAAUUUUUUGUAUUUUUGCCCAAAGAUUUUGCUACUGACUGCUGCUGGAUUCAGGAUAGUGUCUUGGUGGUUUUUUGUUCUGCGUUAGCCCUGCGGGCCCUGUAUGUGUGGGCUAAUUUUUGCUCUAAUGAAGGAUUGGGCUGGGAUUUUGAGAGCAGCUGUGAGCUGGGUAGGGAGGGGAUGGGCCAGAGACAUGGGGAGUGAUGUUCCUGGAUAAGUGCCUGAGGGGAGUGGGCAAGGAACUCUUGGCAUGAAGCCUUAGAUUGCACUGUAUGCGUUUUCCUUGUCCUCAAGGACUGUGGGAGGUUACCUUGGGGUAACAAGUCUCUUCAUCUCCAGAGGAUCAAAUGCCAUCUUUCACAGCAUGAGGCCACCAUGCAGCUCUGGGCUGCAAAGGAUUCAGGUUACUAGGCCCAUGGAGCCUAGUAGGAGGCAGACUUGCUGCUUUUAUUUACGCCUGGGUUUAGCAAAUUUUGAGCCUUCUUUAUAACUUAAGCAUAUUUUACUAUACUCCCAGCUUCCUGUGAGAGCUUGGAAUAUUGAAAGCUUCUUGAAGCCCUUAAUUUUCCUUGUUGGUGUGUCUUAAAAACAUGUCAUGCCCUACUCUGUGCAGCUUUAAAAACAGCUGUCAAAUUAUCGUGGUGAGAGGAAUGAAAGCAGUGGGAGUGUUCCAGAGCCCGGGUAUAUUCAUAAAUGAGGCUCAUAUUAGAAGCAAGUAGCACUAAUCAGCUUUUCCAAAGGAAAUGCCUAGAAAGCUUUUAUGUAGAUCAUCAUAUGUUAAUUUUCUUACUUAGUUGCUUAUUUAUAGCCACACUCAAAUGCAUCAGGGCUAGCCUUGCUCCAGGAAUGAGAAACCUGUGCCUGGUGCCAUGGGUAGGAGUGCCUUGGGAGUAGUGUCCUGGACUGUCAGCAAAAUAAUGUGCAAGUUUGGACCCAUUGUCAAAACAAACAAAAAUCCCACAACCAAACAAAAAAAAACCAAACCACAAAACAAAUCAAUCAACUCUGGGACAUGAGCAUGAACAGGGAUAGCUUAGGGUUUGCCUCAGUUGCAUGUUUUAACAAAGAACAUGUUCUGAUUAAUGUGGGGAAAAGCAAGCAAGAGGUGACUCCUGAAGCCUGAAACAUCUGUCCAUGUGAAAGCUCGGCAGCAUGUGGUAACUCAUCACCACAGUUGCUCACCUUUCAAGAAAGGGAUCCCCUCUCUUCAGUAGCCUUUAUGUCUCCUUGCCCCCCAAUGUGUCUGUAGUCGAUGGAUAACAAUCUCUGAUGGAAUCAAAAUUGCAUCUGAUAACAUGCUGUAAAGCAGAGAAAAGGCAGCAGAAGCUGAAGGUGAAAGAGCUGAUGGUGUUGCAUUUAUGGUUCUCUGGCUGAGGCAAGCGUUAUGGUGUGUGGUAGAAGGGGAUGUUCAUGGCUGGUGCUGUUGUGCUCGGUGUGGUGCUCCCCAAGGUGUCUUGAGAUAGGUCACUUCUCCUGAAAGGAGCCUUCUUCAUAAGGCAGUGGGGAUGGUUCUAUGAAAUGAUGCUUCCAGCACAGUGGAGUCUUCACCUGGUGUGAUCCCAGGAAGGGUUUCUGCAUUGCUAGCACAGAUGUCUGCUGCAUACAGGGCAGGCAUCACUAGCUGACAUAGUUUCCACCCCAUCCCCUCUGCAAUCUUUCACCCAUUUCUCACAAUUUUUUUACAUAGUCUCUGCUUUUGUUUGCUCUCUGUAGCAGUGUAACUUCUGAACCAUUACAGGCUCUUUGUUACCAUCUGUGCUAGCAAGACUGUAGAAUGUACUAGACUAGGGGGGAGUGGUUGACAAAUAAAAACCUAUAAUCCUC